GACGAACGCUGGCGACGCGCUUAACACAUGCAAGUCGAACGGAAAGGCCUGCUUUCCCUUGUGGAUUGCGGGUACUCGAGUGGCGAACGGGUGAGUAACACGUGAGUGAUCUGCCCCCAACUUGGGUAUAAGCCUGGGAAACUGGGUCUAAUUCCCGAUAGGACUGCAGGGUGGUGCCUGUGGUGGAAAACGAUUUUCUAGUGGUUGGGGAUGAGCUCGCGGCCUAUCAGCUUGUUGGUGGGGUAAUGGCCUACCAAGGCGGCGACGGGUAGCCGGCCUGAGAGGGUGGACGGCCACAUUGGGACUGAGAUACGGCCCAGACUCCUACGGGAGGCAGCAGUGGGGAAGAUUGCACAAUGGGCGGAAGCCUGAUGCAGCGACGCCGCGUGGGGGAUGACGGCCUUCGGGUUGUAAACUCCUUUCGACCGCGAGGAAGCCACCUGGUUGGAAGGGUGGUGACGGUAGUGGUAGAAGAAGCACCGGCUAACUACGUG
rnacentral:rRNA from 1 species